rnacentral:rRNA from 1 species
GACGAACGCUGGCGGCGUGCUUAACACAUGCAAGUCGAACGGUAAGGCCCUUCGGGGUACACGAGUGGCGAACGGGUGAGUAACACGUGGGUGAUCUGCCCUGCACUUCGGGAUAAGCCUGGGAAACUGGGUCUAAUACCGGAUAGGACCACUGCCUGCAUGGGUGGUGGUGGAAAGCUUUUGCGGUGUGGGAUGGGCCCGCGGCCUAUCAGCUUGUUGGUGGGGUGAUGGCCUACCAAGGCGACGACGGGCAGCCGGCCUGAGAGGGUGACCGGCCACACGGGGACUGAGAUACGGCCCAGACUCCUACGGGAGGCAGCAGUGGGGAAUAUUGCACAAGGGGCGCAAGCCUGAUGCAGCGACGCCGCGUGAGGGAUGACGGCCUUCGGGUUGUAAACCUCUUUCAGCACCGACGAAGCGCAAGUGACGGUAGGUGCAGAAGAAGGACCGGCCAACUACGUGCCAGCCGCCGCCGUAAGAC